UGUCGUCAGCUCGUGUUGUGAAAUGUUGGGUUAAGUCCCGCAACGAGCGCAACCCUUAUCCUUUGUUGCCAGCGAUUAGGUCGGGAACUCAAAGGAGACUGCCAGUGAUAAACUGGAGGAAGGUGGGGAUGACGUCAAGUCAUCAUGGCCCUUACGACCAGGGCUACACACGUGCUACAAUGGCGCAUACAAAGAGAAGCGACCUCGCGAGAGCAAGCGGACCUCAUAAAGUGCGUCGUAGUCCGGAUUGGAGUCUGCAACUCGACUCCAUGAAGUCGGAAUCGCUAGUAAUCGUGGAUCAGAAUGCCACGGUGAAUACGUUCCCGGGCCUUGUACACACCGCCCGUCACACCAUGGGAGUGGGUUGCAAAAGAAGU
rnacentral:rRNA from 1 species